ACUGAAAAUACUUAGGAGUACCAUUAAGCAACACAGAGACUGUGUCAAAGCCAGAACUCGGUAACACUGAAAGCUAUGAAGAGACUGGGUAAAAGAGGGAAGACCCUCCAUCAUUUUGUUAGCACCAUCAAGCCCACCACAGUGAGAAACAAGAAGCUUCAUGAUGCAACACAGCUCUAGACCGUCACCUGCAGCUUAUUACAAACCCG